rnacentral:rRNA from 1 species
CGGGUAGCGUAACACGUGAGCAACCUUCCGAAAUAUGGGGGAUAGCCGGCCUAACGGCCGAGUAAUACCGCAUACGCUCUCGAUGAGGCAUUUCAUUGAGAGGAAACCUCCGGGGUAUUUCGAGGGGCUCGCGGCCUAUCAGCUAGUUGGCGAGGUAACGGCUCACCAAGGCAACGACGGGUAGCUGGUCUGAGAGGGCGACCGGCCACACUGGGACUGAGACACGGCCCAG